rnacentral:rRNA from 1 species
UGGCGACCAUAGCGUUGCGGACCCACCUGAUCCCAUGCCGAACUCAGAAGUGAAACGCAGUAGCGCCGAUGGUAGUGUGGGGUUUCCCCAUGUGAGAGUAGGACAUCGCCAGGCU